rnacentral:tRNA from 1 species
GAGGGUAUAGCUCAAGUGGUAGAGCGCCUGCUUAGCACGCACAGGGUCCUGGGUUCAAUGCCCAGUACCGCCU